rnacentral:tRNA from 1 species
GCCGAAGUGGCGGAACUGGUAGACGCGCUGGAUUCAAAAUCCAGUGGGGGCAACCCCGUGAGAGUUCGAGUCUCUCCUUCGGCACCA